AUCCCCAUCCCCAUCCCUAUCCCCAUUCCCAACCCCAUCCCCGUCUCCCUCUCCCCAUUCCUGCAGGUAAAGCAGACCCCAGCAGCCCCCACCCCACAGAGCAGCGCAGUCCCGCUGCCCAGCAUCCCCCCGGCACGGCCCUGAGCCCCCAGUGCUCGGUGCACAGGUUGGAGUGUUCCGUGUUGCCCUGAGUGCAGGCAGCUCCUCUGGCUUUGUCUGAGGAGUUCGGGUCUCUGCCCCUUCCGCAGCUGCUUCUGGGGCGACCCACAGAGACCCCCGCCUGCAGCCGCCCCCCGCCACGAGGGGCCAGAAGACUGCAGAGCGAAACUUUUCUGCAGGACGUUCGGUCUGGGACCAGGAAGCUGGACGCCUUCUUGCCAUUUCCAAAGAGCCUUCCUUGCCCCACUGCUGCCCCAUCCUCCCACCAGGGCUGGAGAUGGACGGUGGGCACACAGUUCUGCCCGGCGCCCGCGCCGCCGUGUGCCCCCCAGCUCCCACCGUGCCAAGCAGCUGCAGCCGUACCUGUGUUGGAAAACACUGGGUGACCACGGGGCAAAGCCCCACGGCACCACGGCUCGUCCCAGUCAGGAAAACACAAAAGAAGGCGACACCCAACCACGGCCGUGCCAUCACCCCGUCCCCACGGCUGCUCAGGUCUGCACCAAACCCUGCUUCCAGCACGGAGCAGUGCCACCUCUUCAGUGCCCAUCUCCUCCUCAGCUGGAUCUCCCCAUCUCAGUGCCCAAUCCUUCUGUUCCCACAUCCUCCCAUCUCAGUGCCCAUCCCUUCUAUUCCCAUUCCCACAUCCUCCCAUCCCAGUGCCCAUCCCUUCUAUUCCCACCUCCUCCCAACCCAGUGCCCAAUUCUUCUAUUCCUACGUCCUCCCACCUCAGUGCCCAUCCCUUCUAUUUCCAUUCCCACAUCCUCCCAUCCCAGUGCCCAUCCCUUCU
ensembl:lncRNA